UUUAUGGAGAGUUUGAUCCUGGCUCAGGAUGAACGCUGGCGGCGUGCCUAAUACAUGCAAGUCGAGCGAACGGACGAGAAGCUUGCUUCUCUGAUGUUAGCGGCGGACGGGUGAGUAACACGUGGAUAACCUACCUAUAAGACUGGGAUAACUUCGGGAAACCGGAGCUAAUACCGGAUAAUAUUUUGAACCGCAUGGUUCAAAAGUGAAAGACGGUCUUGCUGUCACUUAUAGAUGGAUCCGCGCUGCAUUAGCUAGUUGGUAAGGUAACGGCUUACCAAGGCAACGAUGCAUAGCCGACCUGAGAGGGUGAUCGGCCACACUGGAACUGAG
rnacentral:rRNA from 1 species